UUUGGAUUGAAAGAUUGUUUUUAAUUUAAACGUUAAUUAGAAUGUUAAUUCAGUUCUCAGUUCUGAUCACGCUUCUUAAUCAAUAUGCCAAGUUUUUACAUUUAGAACUUCUGUCUUGGAGUUCCCGUCAUAGUGCAGUGGAAACAAAUCUGACUAGGAACCAUGGGGUUGCAGGUUCGAUCCCUGGCCUCAUUCAGUGGGUUAAGGGUCUGGCACUGCCAUGAGCUGUGGUGUAGGUUGCAGACACGGCUCAGAUCUGGCAUUGCUGUGGCUGUGAUGUAGGCCGGCGGCUGUAGCUCUAAUUAGACCCCUAGCCUGGGAACCUCCAUAUGCCACAGGUGUGGCCCUAAAAAGACAAAAGACAAAGAAAAAGAAAAAAAAAAGAAAUUCUGCCUUGCAGUUUUGGAGAGUCUUGGUGACGGGGGGUGAGGGGUGGGUAGUAACACGGCCUCUGGAGUUCUUAUGCUUUGGUUUUGGUUCUGGUCUUAAUCACUCACUUUCAACUAGCACUUCAGCUGGUCUAGGUUGCUUGCUUAGAGGGGUGGCCCAGAGCUUCAUUCUUAGAAGUCUUUGUCCUUAGUUGCUUUAUCUUUUCAGGUCGUGGUGGCUGUAAUUGGCCGUGUUCGUUAAUACUGGGCACUGAAAUCGCCAAGGGACAUUCCAUGGCUCUCCUGGGUUCCGGAUAUACUGCCCCCACCUUACUGGAUAGUAGCAAUAAGGACUUGGGGGUGCUGCCACCCAAUAAGGUGGGGAGCAAUAUACCUGGAACCUCAUUCUCAGUCCACUGGCACAAAAGGCAAAACUGCUACGUGAGAAUCACAGCCUCAAAUACAGUGACAAUUGUACUGUGUCCCCUGGAGCAAGUGUUUUCCCCACACCCAGAAAAUAGAACUUCUGCCACAGCCUAUAUUUGUAGGAAUGGUCUGUACAACUUUCGUAAUCAGGCCACCAGGAUUGAUCAUGAAAGGACCAGUCCUACUUCUACCUCUUUGUUCAUGGGCCUGCACACCUCAGCCCUUGGUUCAGCACACAGAGCGCCCCACGUGUAAAGGGAAAUACCACAACCCCACAAGGCACUGUCCCCAAACUGGGGCCUUCACUGAACAUUUACCUAGUUGUUCCGCUGGUAGGCCAGGCUGGCUACUUCUAGGUAAUGGGUUAUAUUUACCAGUGAAUCAUGCGGUAACAAGCUCAUGGCCCAAGUGCCUUUGCUAUGAAAUGGGCCCCUUGACCUGGGUCAUACGUAGGAAACACCACAACAAUGAACCAGGCAUGUUGUUAGACAUCAGAUAACAGUGCUGAUGAAGGUUAUGCAACCAGAGAAUGCAAAUCUAUCGAAUUAUCUAUUCCAGGAAUAACAUUUCUGCCUCCUCCAAGGUGUAAGAUAUCUGAUAUGGUCAACCGGCCAUCAGGUCGCUGGCGGGUCUCUCAAGAGAAAGCCACAUCAAGGCUCUGCGUCCGCCAGGCGUUGAGUCAUCCUUGUUGAGAGGGAGCCAGCAUCAGUGACUCUGCACAGCUCUCCUCCAUGCCACCCUGGCCGUUACCUUUAAGCUCACCUGACAAGUUCUAGGAUGCCAAGGAAAGCGGAGGUGAGGGUGGUGGAGGUGUUUAAGUCCCUCCCGAGGUGGUGCUAGAAGAAACCUGGCAGAUAUUAACGGUAAAAAGAUCUGCAUGCUUAGUUUCACCCACAUGAGUACAUUCAGAACUUCUCAGUCUUAUUCCUUCCUGGCCAUUGACCAACUGGCCAAGUCAUUCAUCAGGUCCAUGAAUCAGUGUGCGUAGGUAUCUUGGGCCAUAUUUCCCUUUAUAGUAACUCUACGGCCAAGGGUACCACUUUUAGCUCUGCCCAUUGAGGCCAUUACCCUGUAUUUUUUUUUGUUUGUUUUUUUGUCUUUUAGGGCCACACCCAUGGCAUAUGGAGGAUCCAAACAAUGUUCCCACGUGUGGUAAAUGCCACCUUCAAAAUACAGCCACGUGGUGUGCCCCUUUCUUUGCAGUGAGAAGCAACAACUUGUCCUUUACCAGACUUCCCGUCCCGGUGCAGCGGCAAUGAACCCGACAAGCACCCGUGAGGACACAGGUUCAAUGCCUGGCUUCGCUCAGUGGGUUAAGGAUCUGGCAUUGCCGUGUAGGUCGCAGACACGGCUCAGAUCUCACGUUGCUGUGGCUGUGGUGCAGGCCAGCAGCUGUAGCUCCGAUUGACCCCUAGCCUGGGAACCUCCAUGUGCCACGGGUGCUGCCCUGAAAGGACAAAAAGAGAAAUACAUACAUACAUACAUAACUUGUCCUUUACCUUAGAAGGACUGUCUCCUUUAGGGGAGAAGUUGGCCAACAACUGUCGGGCCCCCCUCCUAUUUUUGUAAAUGAUGCUUUAGGGGAACACACAGCAUGUCCAUUCAUUUAUGUGCGGCCAAUGGCUGGUUUCCCACCACGAUGGCAAAAUUGAGUAGCUGUGAAGGAAUCUUAUGCCUCGCAAAGCCUAAAAUGUUUACUGACCAUCCCUUUAAAGAUAAAAUUCGCCAGCGCCUGCUCUAACACCGCUAAUCCAUGGCACGUAGUUCCUUAAAUUAUCACCUGUAAUUGGCUAGACUCAGCGGCCUAUGGAAGGCAAGGCUUUGGAAGAUCAAGUAGCGAUAAUUAUAGAACAUUAUGGAAUAUUCUUUCCAAAAUGAAGGGCAGCUAUUGCAUCAGUCCUCUCCAGUCACAAAGAACCAAGCACAUCUUUGGAUGUGGAAGAUUUCAGGGGGCUUGCUGCUGGAGCGUAUUUACUGAGUAACCCCCCAGGCUGCCACAGGGGGGCGAUGUGGCAUCUUGGAAAGUUCAGCUUCAGACGAGACGGAUGACUGGAGCCUAUUUUCUCACAUGCAAAAUGACCAUAAAUAACUUCUUCAUUAAAAAAAAAAAAAGCAAUCCCCUUGUGUCACAGCAGGUUAAGGAUCCAGCGUUGUCACUGCUGCAGCUCGGGUCGCUGCUAUGGCAUGGGGUCAGUCCCUGGCCCAGGGAACCUCCAUCACAUGCUGUAAGCAAGGACAAAAACAAAAACAAAAAACUUCUUCAUAGGGUUCUGGUAACUAUAAAGUAAGCUAACACGUGAGAAAGCCC
rnacentral:lncRNA from 1 species